GAACAAGAGGGCAGGAAGGAGAAACUCUACUCCUUCAACUCUUCACAAGAAAUUCAGAAGUUGAUGAUGAAAUCAGACACGAAAUCGAAUGCAUGAGCCUAGUUAAUCUCUAACUUAAGUGAUUUGAGCAUAAGGAUCAUGCUUAGAUGGGAAAGCAUGGAAGGCAAACGGAAAGGAUAUGAGGAAGCAAGCACGAAACGGGCACUCGAGGUACGCCAUAAGGACCUUGCGAAGGUUCAAAGAAUUGGAAUGCAUGAUUAUACAGGAAAGCUUAAUCGAGGAGACUUGCAUGAGAAGAAGGAAUAUGGAGUGGUUAUUUGAUUGCAUAUGUUUAAUCUAAGAAAGACGUCACCAAAUCUUAAUGAUGUUUAUGUAUGUGGUGAAUGCAGGUUGGGCGAACAUAAUAUUAUUAUGAAGAAUAAGAGGACUGAAGAUCGAGUCAAGAGUAAGGAUUGUACGGGAAGAGUGGUCACUCGAUUGGAGUUUUAUAUUUUAAUUAAUGUAAUUUAAAAAGAAUGAAUGUUGUAAAUCUUUUAGUAAAGUACUAUUUAUUCUAGUAAUAAACCCAAGUAUGUUACGUGGCUAAUAAAGAAAGAAAAUAUUUGGGCUCA